rnacentral:rRNA from 1 species
AGCAGCCGCGGUAAUUCCAGCUCCAAUAGCGUAUAUUAAAGUUGUUGCAGUUAAAAAGCUCGUAGUUGAAUUUCGGGAUUCUACCGUUGGUCGGGCUAACAAGUCUGUACUGGUGUGUAGAAUUUCUACCUUCUGGGGAACUAUCAUGUUAUUAAUUUAGCGUGGUGGGAAACCAGGACCUUUACCUUGAAAAAAUUAGAGUGUUCAAAGCAGGCUUAUGUCUGAAUACAUUAGCAUGGAAUAAUAGAAUAGGACGGUGGUCCUGUUUUGUUGGUUUCUGAAUCACCGUAAUGAUUAAUAGGGAUAGUUGGGGGCAUUAGUAUUCAAUUGUCAGAGGUGAAAUUCUUGGAUUUAUUGAAGACUAACUUCUGCGAAAGCAUUUGCCAAGGAUGUUUUCAUUAAUCAAGAACGAAAGUUAGGGGAUCGAAAGACGAUCAGAUACCGUCGUAGUCUUAACCAUAAACUAUGCCGACUAGGGAUCGGACGAUGUUAAAUUUUAUUGUACUCGUUCGGCGUCCUU